GGUGUGAGGUGGGAGGUGGAGGCUGGGAAGUGUAUUCAGGAGGGAAGUCUAGUCUGGUGGUAAAAUAGUUACUAUUUUGCAAAGACUGGAAGGAAAGAUUCCCUUUCUUUGGGCCAUUCUUGGAGAACAGAGCAGGGCUCAAGUCUGAAUGAAGGUCUGCGGAAGCUCAUGGCUCUGGGGACUCAGCACCAUGUCCUGUGAUGGAGACGCAAGGACACACAAGACACUGCCCUGAUUCUCAAGGAGCUCACAGAGUCUGGGGGGGAAGCCACUUGUGCAGAGGACACAGGGAAAAGAGAAUGAUCUAUGAACCAGGAAACUUGAUCUUCAACUUCCUUGCCUCCAGAACUUUGAAAAAGAUGUUUCUGUUGUUGGAGAACAUUUCCAGCUUAAAGUGGGAGGAGGCACCAUAUCCAACAAGCUGCAGUCAACACCCGCUCACAUUCAGGAAUAACCUUUAAGACACAGUUCAUAAGUUGCAUAGUUUUAUCCUUUUGCCCUUUAGCGUCUGAAGAGAACUGCUGGGCCUGCAACCCUAGUAUGUGGGGGUGUUCAGGGCACAACGUGCAAGGCUGGGGGUGGGGGUGAUGGAAGACCGAUCCUGUUAAGGAGAAGCACACAUGCUUUGCUUCACCUUUCUCAACCCUCAUAACAGUCCAUUUCAAUUCCACCCUGAAAUUGCCCAUCUGUCAUCACCCAUUAAAGGUGUUUGUAAGCAACUGCAAAAUAUUGAGGCUGAUGCAUUUUGGCACUAAUAUUGCUAUUAAUAUUGAUAUCCCUUGUAAUGCCAGCAUCAUAUUAAUAAUGCUCCUUGCAGACUCCUUAGACGUCUUCCUCUUCUUCACUCUUCUGAGCCUUAGCCUUGCCCUGCAGCUUAUUUUUAAGGAUUUUCAGAAGUUAUUGAUUACACAA